CGACGACCGGCGCACGGGUGAGUAUCGCGUUUGUAACCUACCUUUAACCGGAGAAUAGCCCGAAGAAAUUCGGAUUAAGUACUCCAUAACACUAUGAACUGGCAUCUUUUUAUAGUUAAAGCUCCGGCGGUUAAAGAUGGGCAUGCGUGACAUUAGUUUGUUGGUGAGGUAAGAGCUCACCAAGACUACGAUGUCUAGGGGGUCUGAGAGGAUGGUCCCCCCACACUGGUACUGAGACACGGACCAG
rnacentral:rRNA from 1 species